UGGGGAAUAUUGCACAAUGGGCGCAAGCCUGAUGCAGCGACGCCGCGUGGGGGGAUGACGGCCUCGGGUUGUAAACUCCUUUCAACCAUGACGAAGCUUUCGGGUGACGGUAGUGGUAGAAGAAGCACCGGCUAACUACGUGCCAGCAGCCGCGGUAAUACGUAGGGUGCGAGCGUGUCGACUGAUCUGGCGUAAGAAGCUCGUAGGUGGUUUGUCGCGUCGUCUGUGAAAUUCCGGGGCUUAACUCCGGGCGUGCAGGCGAUACGGGCAUAACUUGAGUGCUGUAGGGGAGACUGGAAUUCCUGGUGUAGCGGUGAAAUGCGCAGAUAUCAGGAGGAACACCGAUGGCGAAAGCAGGUCUCUGGGCAGUAACCGACGCUGAGGAGCGAAAGCAUGGGUAGCGAACAGGAUUAGAUACCCCAG
rnacentral:rRNA from 1 species